rnacentral:misc_RNA from 1 species
UCUCAUCACAUCAUUAGGUUAAAAGCCUCAGUUUUAGUUAACAUUACAGAUUCUAACAUAUCCUCUACAUCAACCAUUUCCAUCCUUCCUCAAUCCCCUCAGGAUGACCCCCAAAGGAAAGGGGCUAAACACAGGAAAUCUAAUCAAAGAAAUGCAAAGACAACAAAUAUAGAAGACCAAAACAAGUAAACUUUACAUGGAUUGAAACUAACAGAUCCAUUCCUUAGGGUUGAUACAAGCAUCCAAGAGUUUCCAUUCUUCAGACCCCUCUACUGGUUGAUGGUCGUACUCCCAACGUGCACUUAAUGGAAGAGAAACAAGAAUACUCUCAAUCCUACCUCCUGUCUUGAGACCAAAUGUAGUUCCACGGUCAUAAACCAAGUUGAAUUCCACAUAGCGCCCCCUCCGUAACUGUUGCCAUGCCUUGUGUUCAUCGGUGAAUGGGGUAUCCUUCCUCUUCUCUAUGAUAGGUAUAUAUGCUGGAAUGACGGAAUUGGCACACUCUGUAGAAAAGGAGAGAAGCAUCUCCUGAUCAUAGUCGUUUAAAUCGUCAAAAAAAAUUCCUCCAAGACCUCGCCUCUCAUCACGGUGCUUUAUAUAGAAAUAAUCAUCACACCACUUCUUGAAACGAGGGUAGAAACUAGCAUCAAAUUUGUCACAAGCACCUUUUUGCACCGAAUGGAAGUGCUUCACAUCCUCCUCGAAAAUGUAAGCAGGUGUCAGAUCAGUG